rnacentral:rRNA from 1 species
AGAGUUUGAUCCUGGCUCAGGACUAACGCUGGCGGCGUGCCUAACACAUGCAAGUCGAACGAAGCAGCAAUGCUUAGUGGCAGACGGGUGAGUAACGCGUAGAUAAUGUGCCCUCUUGCGGGGGAUACCGUUUCGAAAGGAACGUUAAUACCGCAUAAAGUCCCAGAGAGGCAUCUCUCAGGGACCAAACUUCCGGGGCGGGAGGAGCAAUCUGCGUACUAUCAGGUAGUUGGUGAGGUAAUGGCUCACCAAGCCUACGACGGUUAACUGGUCUGAGAGGAUGAUCAGUCACACUGGAACUGAGACACGGUCCAGACUCCUACGGGAGGCAGCAGUGAGGAAUAUUGCGCAAUGGGCGAAAGCCUGACGCAGCGACGCCGCGUGGAGGAUGACGGAUUUCGGUCUGUAAACUCCUGUCAGUAGGGAAGAGAAUGGACGGUACCUACUGAGGAAGCUUUCGGCUAACUACGUGCCA